GGCUUCACCAUGUCAACCAGGAUGGUCUCGAUCUCCUGACCUCGUGAUCCGCCCGCCUCAGCCUCCGAAAGUGCUAGGAUUACAGGCGUGAGCCACCGCGCCCGGCCUAGAAGGUGAAAGUUUCAGCGAUAACAGCCGUGGUUCACGAGGAGCCCACGUCAGGCCCUGUGGUGUGCACAUCCCUUGGGUCUUCACAGCUGUCCUGCCGGGUCUUUUGCUGAAGCCUUCUGAGCUUGCUCAGUCUACAGCCAGGGUGGCUGGGAAGAUGAACCAGGAAGGGCACUCCGCAGCAGUGGGCAGGUGAGAUGUCCCAGCCUCCUGUCCUUCAGAGGCGCGGCCUGCAUGGUUUCUCGAACGUGGCUGAGCCCCUGGUGCCCGCAGUGGGAACAGCUCAGCAUAUACCUUUUGUUGUCUUUUCUGUCUCCUCUCUCAUUUGCCUGUUUGCUCUGCUAACAGCUCCCACACCCGUGGCUCUGAGACAGCUUCCAAAGUGACAGCUGGUGCAGCCUCCCAGGGACAGUGGGGGCGGGGAGCCCUCUGUGUCCACUGUGACAGGCCAGUCCCAGGUUUUACUGGAUUUGCUGCUUACGGUCUGCAUGAGCAGGGAUCAGGGAUCCCAAGCCUGGAUUCCCCUCAUUCCUUCUGUGCAGAGCUGUCUCCAGGAACAAAGUUUGCAUAGUGUUAGCGUUAGCAAAUUUGGGGGUAUCUUUAAUAUUUCUCUAAUGGUCUGCUGAGUUCAGAGAUUACAGAAUGUAUUCCAGAGUGUGGUGUGGUUUAUUAGUGACUAUUUGCUGUUUGACAGGAAAGAAACUUUGCAUUGCUGUCUUCCUUCUUAGAGCUCUCUUCAAAUCCCCUUUCCAAAAUAAUCUUAAAGAAUUCAAAUCAGAAUCUAAAAUGGAUGUACCGUUUGAAUUUAGGCCCAUACCGAGAUUUGGGGCCCAUACCGUUUUGAAUGGUUAUUUUCAAAAUUUCAGUUUCCAUUUGCUCAUUAUAGGUACAUAGAAAUGCAAAAAUAAAUUGCAUAUCCUGCAACCAUGCUAAACCCUCCUUAGUAGUCUGGUGGAUUGUGCGGGGUUUUGUGCACACACAGUCAUCAUCUGUGAACCCAUAUUCUUAUUUAGAGCACAGAGGUAAUACCAUCUAGUCUCUCGGUGUAGGAAAUUUAGAGCCUUUCUGUUGUUACGUUACCACUGACUGGAGACCUCCGACGGCAAAGAAUUUAAAACGCACAGCGAGGAGGUCUGUUCCGUUGUGGAAUAGUUGCCAUUGUUAGGAAUCUUGUUCAUAUUUUGGGCUGCGCAUUUUGGUUCUCUGUGGCAGCCACCCAAAGACCUCGAGGCAUCUGGAAAGUCCUCCGUGGGCGCCUCCUGCAGGGUGAGCAGUUUCCCUGGGGACUCCUUGCAUGGGGGGCCCUGAUGACCUGUGUGGAACCCAGCAUUGGGAAAGGAAUCAUGAUGUGACCAGAAUUGCUUCUAGUAGAAUAUGAAGUAGUGAGUUUUGAAAAGUCAGAGUGACUACAAGCUGAAUGGGAGGUUUAGACAGGGAGCCAUAAGAAGUGUUCCUUUGAGACAGGUCUUCAAACACACGGCAUUUCCCCCAUGCAUGUACUUUGUUGCUGAAAGAUAAAGACAAAACAAAAACCCAAGGGACAAAUGGAUGCCGCUGAUUAUUUUUAAUGAUUUUGUGCUAUGGUUUGACCACAGCAUUAAGAACAAGCAGAAAAAUCUGAUUUCAUAACUAACAAACAGCACUUAGAGCAACAUCUUUCUUUAAAAGUAUUGCAAUUACAGACCUUAGGUCUAAGAACUACAUCACCAUUCCUCAGGUAAAAGAGGCAGAUAGAUACGCGACAGGUGGAAAUCAUUUUCUGUAUGUAACUGGGAAUUAUGUUGAAAAGUAAGCACAAAUGUUUGCUAAAAGAAACUUUAAUGACUUUUGAUUAUCAUAGCUCACAACCAACUAUUGAAAAGUUCAAAUACAGUUGUACUUUUUUUAGUAGAUUGCUUUAUAAUAAAAAUUAAAUGAACUAAAUGCUGUGAAUAGUAUUGUACAUAUUUUAAAAGAGCCUUAAACUAGACAAGUAUACAAGUAGCAUGAUUUUUGAAAGCUAUGAAAUGAAAAAUAGCAACAUACCAACGAGCACAUUCAAUGAACCAGUAUCAUUAACAGUCAAGUUUAAGCCUCAAUUCGUCCUGUAGAAAGGAAGCAAUGAUGUGGUCACAAAUUUUAGUACCUCUGAGUCUAGAACAUUCUCAUGUUCAACAGUUCUCCCACAAGGUUGAACCUGGGGGGUAGGAGCUUUGUUUCUGACAGUAACGAGCCUCAGUUCUUAAUGCUGAAUCCCAAGGGGUGCACCCUACAGUACAUGAUGGAACCAACACACGGGUCUAGACACGCGGGAUCCACAACAACACGAGUGUCAACUUUUCAUGGCCCUUUCAGACAGAUACUAAAAGGGCUGACUUUUAAUCCAUUCAGCAUUAGGAGUUGCCUUGUAGAGUCCAUUUCAGUUUAAGGAUAAUGGGUCAUUUGUUUCUUGGAUGUUAGGGGUAUGAUUCUAUUGUGAUUUUCAAAGAACAUACACCAUGGAGCAAAUAAAAACUUUGGAAUUUAUUAGACUCCACUUUGGUGGCAGAAUAAGCUGAUAAAUAUGGGUCAGACGGGCCAAAUUCCACCAACUGCUCUUAUGAGACAACACUCGAAAGGACACCCACACCCAAGAUUCAACCGUGGUUUUAAUGAACACGGUGUUAUGCACGUCUCUCGUUCUUUCUUUUUAAAAUUAGGGUAUUUGAAGAUAAAUGCAGAGGUCAUAAUCAGACACUAAAAACUAAGCUGGAAGAGAGAUGUAACAAUAUACAAUUCAAAACGUAAUUUCUAACUGAUGGCAAAACCGAGUUUGCUUUUCGGGUCAGGAUUAUGAUGGGACAUGAAUGGGAAUGGAUGAGAGGUCCUUCACUUGGCUGGCUGACAGCCAAGUCUCUUCUAGUGCUAACCCAUAACUAAACGCUUUUUCUAAGAACAGGGUCUUCUUGUAAGUGGGUUUGUUUUUCCUGAGGUAUUCUUUCCCUACAAUCUCUACUGUUACUUCAUUGGCUCCACAGCUUCAGUUUGUAAAAGAAAAAGGCACAGAGAGACUUGGACACAGAUGCCUCUGGAGCUGAACAGAGUCCUCUGCUGCAGGCUGAUUUCCUUAUUCCUCUGACACAGUUUCUGCAAUAUUAACAACAAAAAUGUGCACUUUUCACUAAGGCCUGACACCUUCGUGAUGCUACAGCAGGAGAUAGAUGCAGGAGGUUAUAAAGCAAGUUGAAAAACAACAUUUUGCUGACUCAAAUAUAACUAACACUGGUACAGCUGAGCAUUACUAAAAUGACUGAAAUAAGAAGUGUCUAGUGGCAACCAAAAAGCUGUGGGAUUUUUUAAAAAGUAUAUUCUUUAAAGUGUUUUCACAGCAAAGAUGCAACUUUCCAUUGCUAUAUAUACGCUGGUCAUAAACUGUUGCUUGUUUGUUCACACUUCUUUCUCGUGUUAUAAUAUUGAUAUUUAAUAGGAAAAUAAACUACAUAGACUUUAA